rnacentral:rRNA from 1 species
AUUGAACGCUGGCGGCAUGCCUUACACAUGCAAGUCGAACGGCAGCACGGGUGCUUGCACCUGGUGGCGAGUGGCGAACGGGUGAGUAAUACAUCGGAACAUGUCCUGUAGUGGGGGAUAGCCCGGCGAAAGCCGGAUUAAUACCGCAUACGAUCUACGGAUGAAAGCGGGGGACCUUCGGGCCUCGCGCUAUAGGGUUGGCCGAUGGCUGAUUAGCUAGUUGGUGGGGUAAAGGCCUACCAAGGCGACGAUCAGUAGAUGGUCUGAGAGGACGACCAGCCACACUGGGACUGAGACACGGCCCAGACUCCUACGGGAGGCAGCAGUGGGGAAUUUUGGACAAUGGGCGAAAGCCUGAUCCAGCAAUGCCGCGUGUGUGAAGAAGGCCUUCGGGUUGUAAAGCACUUUUGUCCGGAAAGAAAUCCUUGGCUCUAAUACAGUCGGGGGAUGACGGUACCGGAAGAAUAAGCACCGGCUAACUACGU